rnacentral:rRNA from 2 species
GGGCACGGGCGGCGUGCCUAUACUNGNCAGUCGACGAGUUCUCGUUGAUGAUCGGUGCUUGCACCGAGAUUCAACAUGGAACGAGUGGCGGACGGGUGAGUAACACGUGGGUAACCUGCCCUUAAGUGGGGGAUAACAUUUGGAAACAGAUGCUAAUACCGCAUAGAUCCAAGAACCGCAUGGUUCUUGGCUGAAAGAUGGCGUAAGCUAUCGCUUUUGGAUGGACCCGCGGCGUAUUAGCUAGUUGGUGAGGUAAUGGCUCACCAAGGCGAUGAUACGUAGCCGAACUGAGAGGUUGAUCGGCCACAUUGGGACUGAGACACGGCCCAAACUCCUACGGGAGGCAGCAGUAGGGAAUCUUCCACAAUGGACGCAAGUCUGAUGGAGCAACGCCGCGUGAGUGAAGAAGGCUUUCGGGUCGUAAAACUCUGUUGUUGGAGAAGAAUGGUCGGCAGAGUAACUGUUGUCGGCGUGACGGUAUCCAACCAGAAAGCCACGGCUAACUACGUGCCAGCAGCCGCGGUAAUACGUAGGUGGCAAGCGUUAUCCGGAUUUAUUGGGCGUAAAGCGAGCGCAGGCGGUUUUUUAAGUCUGAUGUGA